UGCCUAAUACAUGCAAGUCGAGCGAGCUUGCCUAGAUGAUUUUAGUGCUUGCACUAAAUGAAACUAGAUACAAGCGAGCGGCGGACGGGUGAGUAACACGUGGGUAACCUGCCCAAGAGACUGGGAUAACACCUGGAAACAGAUGCUAAUACCGGAUAACAACACUAGACGCAUGUCUAGAGUUUGAAAGAUGGUUCUGCUAUCACUCUUGGAUGGACCUGCGGUGCAUUAGCUAGUUGGUAAGGUAACGGCUUACCAAGGCAAUGAUGCAUAGCCGAGUUGAGAGACUGAUCGGCCACAUUGGGACUGAGACACGGCCCAAACUCCUACGGGAGGCAGCAGUAGGGAAUCUUCCACAAUGGACGAAAGUCUGAUGGAGCAACGCCGCGUGAGUGAAGAAGGGUUUCGGCUCGUAAAGCUCUGUUGGUAGUGAAGAAAGAUAGAGGUAGUAACUGGCCUUUAUUUGACGGUAAUUACUUAGAAAGUCACGGCUAACUACGUGCCAGCAGCCGCGGUAAUACGUAGGUGGCAAGCGUUGUCCGGAUUUAUUGGGCGUAAAGCGAGUGCAGGCGGUUCAAUAAGUCUGAUGUGAAAGCCUUCGGCUCAACCGGAGAAUUGCAUCAGAAACUGUUGAACUUGAGUGCAGAAGAGGAGAGUGGA
rnacentral:rRNA from 1 species